AUGAAUGAAACGUGAAAAGGGGAUUAGGUUUUAUCAACGUUGUGACUAUUGCCCUUACUCAAAGAGCUUUCUUCUUCCCCUCUCAUAAACUCAGCGGCGCCGAUGACCAUCUUCGAUCUCUUUCUCCAGCAAAACAAAACACGAUGCCGCCAUGAACUGAACUAAGAGCAUCUCUCCCCCUCGCCUCUCAUCUCAAACUCAAACCCUAAUUCGGAUCUCUCUCACUAACCCUAAAUCUAUGAAGCUCCAUUGAAUGCUCUAAGAAGCAUGAAUCAAGUGAAAGCUAUAGGGUUAUCAUUCAAUAGAUCUCGGGCAACGUCAUAGCAUCAAGAAAAGAAGAAAAAGAUAGCGAUUUCUCACACCACAUAGUGAUUUCCCUCUGAUUUCGUCUUGGAAUUAGGGAACAUCAGUUCCAAUAUGAGCUCUCGGUCGAGCAGGCAGACUGCUGUCAGAAGUUACCGGCGUAGACCUUAACCGAAUGCCGACUGAUGAGAAUCGUGACCAGGAAGGACCUUCAACUCAGUUGGAGCCUCAAGUAGUCGAAACUCAAGCCAACAACAACCAGCAACAACCCCCGUUGAUUGAUGUAGAGGCCAUUGAUGAUGAUUUUAUUGAAUCUUCCCCUAGGGCCUUUGCUGAGGGUUUAAAGAAAUCGAAGGUAUACUUUCAAGGGAUUCAAUAGACGACAAUAUAUUUCAAGUUGUUGCAACCCGUUUUUAUGGUAAACCUAUUAGUGCUUAACAGGGGAAGAGUAUUUUGCUUGGUAGGAGAAUUCAUGAUGUGAUUGGUGUUAGGGAGAAGAUGGAGGAUAAAGAAUAGUGGAGGAUUUUGAUAGAAAGUUGUGGUUUUGAAAAUGUGAGUUUCUGAAAUAUGAAUUUCCAUUUUUUAGUGAAUUCAAGGGGUACAGCCUCCCCGGCACGCUUCCGCCUCAAUUGGUUAAGCUUCCAUACCUCAAAGUAGUUGAUUUUGCUUAUAACUACCUAAAUGGUACGAUUCUGAAGGAAUGAGGUUCGAUUGAACUAACUUCAAUCUCGCUACUUGUUAAUCGUUUGUCGGGGGAGAUUCCUAAGGAGUUGGGAAAUAUUACCACUCUAACAUACUUGAACCUUGAAGCAAACCAAUUUUCCGGUCUUGUUCCCGCUGAACUCGGAAGUCUAUUUAACCUGCAGUAUUUGUUUUUAUCAUCCAAUAAAUUGUCUGGGAACUUACCAGUGACAUUUUCUCAGUUACAGAAUUUGACAGAUUUUAGGAUAAACGAUAAUAGUUUCAACGGAAAAAUACCGAGCUUCAUACAGAAUUGGAAACAGCUUCAGAGACUAGAAAUGCAUGCAAGUGGACUGGAGGGACCUAUCCCGUCAAAUAUAUCGCUUUUGACUAAUUUAUCUCGACUGUGGAUUACUGACAUCAAUGGUCCAAGUCAGGAUAUUCCUAUUUUAAGAAACAUGACAGGAAUGAUAA